rnacentral:rRNA from 1 species
GACGUAGGGGGCCAGCGUUGCUCGGAAUUACUGGGCGUAAAGGGUUCGUAGGCGGUGUGGCAAGUCGGAAGUGAAAUCUCCAGGCUUAACUUGGAGGCUGCUCCCGAAACUGCCAUGCUAGAGUGCGGGAGAGGCCAGUGGAAUUGCAGGUGUAGCGGUGAAAUGCGUAGAUAUCUGGAGGAACAUCAGUGGCGAAAGCGGCUUCCUGGUCCAGUACCGACGUUCAGGCACGAAAGCGUGGGGAGCAAACAGG